AUCCUCUGCCGCCGCACCAAGAACUGCGCCGCGCUUGUCGGCGCCGCGGGGGUCGGUAAGACGGCCAUCGUUGAGGGCCUCGCCCAACGCAUCGCCGCCGGGAACGUCCCGGACAUGCUGGCAGGAGCGCGCAUCCUGGAGCUCGACAUGGGGGCGGUUGUUGCCGGGACAUGCUGGCGUGGCAUGUUCGAAGAGCGCUUGAAAGACGCCAUCAAGCACGCGGAGGAGGCAGGAGGCAAGGUGAUCCUCUUCAUUGAUGAGUUGCACAUGAUUGUUGGCGCCGGCGAUAAAGGAGGCCCCAUGGACGCCGCCAAUAUCCUCAAGCCAGCAUUAGCCCGCGGCCGCAUCCGUUGUGUGGGUGCUACCACUUGCCAAGAGUACCAAAGGUAUAUCCAGACGGACGCUGCACUUGAGCGCCGGUUCCAGAAGGUUGUCGUCGAGGAACCAAGCGUGCAGGGCACCAUCACCAUCCUAAAAGGGCUGAAACAGCGGUACCAAGAGCACCAUGGCUUGAAAAUCCAGGACGAUGCUCUCGUUGCUGCAGCACAGCUCGCCGCCCGUUAUAUUACUGGUCGCCAGUUUCCUGACAAGGCGAUUGAUUUGAUUGACGAGGCAUGCUCUACUGCAAAGGUACAUUUUGACAAGCAGAAAGUGGAGAAUAAUAUAAUUAGCUCUAUAUUUGCACCGAAGGAGUUAACUGUUGGCCCAGAUCAUGUCGCACAGGUUGUCAGUCGAUGCACUAGAAUCCCUCUCACGACACUUGGUCAAGAGGAGAAGGAGAAGUUAGUCCACCUAGCGGAAAAAUUGCAUGAGCGAGUCAUCGGUCAGGAUGAAGCGGUCAAUUUGGUUGCGCAAGCGGUGCUACGUUCUAGGGUUGGUUUUGGUCAAUCUAGCCGACCGAUAGGUUCAUUCCUCUUUUUGGGGCCGCUUGGUGUUGGAAAAACAGAACUCGCAAAAGCUCUCGCCGAGAGGAUAUUUCACAAUGAGAAGAUGUUGAUCCGCUUUGAUAUGUCGGAAUAUGCUGAGAGUGGGUCUCUGUCGCGCCUCAUUGGGGGACCUCGAAGCUAUGAAGAAGAUGGAAAACUUACCGAGAAAGUCAAGAGGUCUCCAUACAGUGUUGUCCUUUUCGAUCAGGUGGAUAAGGCAGACCCCUCAAUAUUCAAGGUUUUUAUCCAACUCCUUGAUGAUGGUACGUUGACCGAUGGCAAAGGACACGUCGUAGAUUUUAAAAACACUAUCAUCAUUAUGACCUCAACUCUAGGAGCAGAGCACCUAACAACAAGAAUGGGCAUAGGAAACACAGUCAAAGCUGGUCGGGGUCUUCUUAUG
rnacentral:rRNA from 1 species